rnacentral:rRNA from 1 species
UACGAAGGGGGCUAGCGUUGCUCGGAAUCACUGGGCGUAAAGCGCACGUAGGCGGCUUUCUAAGUCAGGGGUGAAAUCCUGGAGCUCAAACUCCAGAACUGCCUUUGAUACUGGAGAGCUUGAGUCCGGAAGAGGUGAGUGGAACUCCGAGUGUAGAGGUGAAAUUCGUAGAUAUUCGGAAGAACACCAGUGGCGAAGGCGGCUCACUGGUCCGGUACUGACGCUGAGGUGCGAAAGCGUGGGGAGCAAACAGGG